UGGGGAGUAUGCUGGCCAAGAGUGAGACUUGCCAAGGGAAUUGACGGGGGGCCCCGCACAAGCGGUGGAGCAGGUGGGUGAAUUCGAUGAGACGCGAGAAACCUUGACCAGGGCUUGACAUAUACAGGAAUGCGCAUGGAGAGUGCGCAGCCCUUCGGGGUCUGUAUACAGGUGCUGCAUGGCUGUCGUCAGCUCGUGCCGUGAGUGGUUGGGUUAAGUCCCGCGACGAGCGCAACCCCUGUUGUCUGUUGCCAGCAUUUCGGAUGGGGACUCAGACAAGACUGCCGGUGACAAACCGGAGGAAGGUGGGGACGACGUCAAGUCAUCAUGGCCAUUAUGUCCUGGGCUACACACGUGCUACAAUGGCCGGUACAAAGCGAAGCAAAACCGCGAGGUGGAGCAAAACGCAGAAAGCUGUUCUCAGUUCGGAUCGGAGUCUGAAACCCGACUCCGUGAAGUGGAAUCGCUAGUAUCGCGCAUCAGCAUGGCGCGGUGAAUACGUUCCCGGGCAUUGUACACACCGCCCGUCACACCACCCGAGUUGGGGUACCCGAAGUCGCUUGCCUAACCUGCAAAGGAGGCGGUGCCGAAG
rnacentral:rRNA from 1 species